GACGAACGCUGGCGGCGUGCCUAAUACAUGCAAGUCGAACGCAGUGGGGACGGGUGAGUAACACGUGGGUAACCUCCCAUCAGAGGGGAUAACACUUGGAAACAGGUGCUAAACCGAUACUGAUGGAUGGACCCGCGGUGCAUUAGCUAGUUGGUGAGGUAACGGCUCACCAAGGCCACGAUGCAUAGGCGGACCGGGAGGGUGGUUGGCAAACAGGGGACUGAGACACGGGCCAGAAUCCUACGGGAGGGAGCAGGAAGGAAGUUUUGGGAAUGGACGAAAGGUUGAACGGGGAAAGCCGCGUGAAGGAAGAAGGUUUUCGGGUUGGAAAGCUCUUUUAGUCGGAACGCAGUACCGAAAUAGAAAGCCACGGCUAACUACGUGCCAGCAGCCGCGGUAAUAC
rnacentral:rRNA from 1 species